ACAGAGGGUGCGAGCGUCAAUCGGAAUUACUGGGCGUAAAGGGCGCGUAGGCGGCCCGCUAAGUCGAACGUGAAAUCCCUGGGCUCAACCCAGGAACUGCGUCCGAUACUGGUGGGCUCGAAUCCGGGAGAGGGAUGUGGAAUUCCAGGUGUAGCGGUGAAAUGCGUAGAUAUCUGGAGGAACACCGGUGGCGAAGGCGACAUCCUGGACCGGUAUUGACGCUGAGGCGUGAAAGCCAGGGGAGCAAACGGGA
rnacentral:rRNA from 1 species